ensembl:lncRNA
GUCAGAGUGACAGGCCCCAUAGAUUGAUAUAGGACCAUGCUGGUCAGUCAGAGUGACAGGGCCCAUUGACUGAUAUAGGACCAUGCUGGUAGGUCAGAGUGACAGGGCCCAUAGACUGAUAUAGGACCAUGCUGGUUGGUCAGAGUGACAGGCCCCAUAGACUGAUAUAGGAUCAUGCUGGUCGGUCAGAGUGACAGGGCCCAUAGACUGAUAUAGGACCAUGCUGGUAGGUCAGAGUGACAGGCCCCAUAGACUGAUAUAGGACCAUGCUGGUCAGUCAGAGUGACAGGCCCCAUAGACUGAUAUAGAACCAUGCUGGUAGGUCAGAGUGACAGGCCCCAUAGACUGAUAUAGGACCAUGCUGGUCAGUCAGAGUGACAGGGCCCAUUGACUGAUAUAGGACCAUGCUGGUAGGUCAGAGUGACAGGGCCCAUAGACUGAUAUAGGACCAUGCUGGUUGGUCAGAGUGACAGGCCCCAUAGACUGAUAUAGGAUCAUGUUGGUUGGUCAGAGUGACAGGGCCCAUAGACUGAUAAAGGACCAUGCUGGUAGGUCAGAGUGACAGGCCCCAUAAACUGCCUGGAGCACCAUGACUAGCUACCAUUACAACCAUGACUCAUUACCAUGAUAAGUAAAAUGAACUGCCAUGACUGUCAAGACUCACUACCAAGAUUCAGUUCCAUGACUGUCAAGACUCACUACCAAGAUUCAGUUCCAUGACUGUCAAGACUCACUACCAAGAUUCAGUUCCAUGACUGUCAAGACUCACUACCAAGUUUCAGUUCCAUGACUGUCAAGACUCACUACCAAGAUUCAGUUCCAUGACUGUCAAGACUCACUACCAAGAUUCAGUUCCAUGACUGUCAAGACUCUCUACCAAGAUUCAGUUCCAUGACUGUCAAGACUCACUACCAAGAUUCAGUUCCAUGACUGUCAAGACUCACUACCAAGAUUCAGUUCCAUGACUGUCAAGACUCACUACCAAGAUUCAGUUCCAUGACUGUCAAGACUCACCUCCAUAACAACCAUGACUAUCAUGUCUGACUACCAUGAUUACCCUGAAAACUAAAACUAACUACUAUGAAUAUCAUGUCUGACUACCAUGAUUACCCUGAAAACUAAAACUAAUUACCAUGACUAUCAUGUCUGAGUACCAUGAUUACCCUGAAAACUAAAACUAAUUACCAUGACUAUCAUGUCUGACUACCAUGAUUACCCUGAAAACUAAAACUAACUACUAUGACUAUCAUGUCUGAGUACCAUGAUUACCCUGAAAACUAAAACUAAUUACCAUGACUAUCAUGUCUGACUACCAUGAUUACCCUGAAAACUAGAACUAACUACCAUGACUUCUAAGACAAUCAGUGCUGUUGGUCACUACAGAGGUCACAAGACAGUGCUGAGCUGAGGAUUUGUUUAUUAUGUUCAACAGAGAUCACAAGCAGUGUUGAGGUGAGGAUGUGUCGGUUAUAUUCAACAGGUCAUGAGACAGUGUUGAGGUUAGGAUGUGUUGGUUAUAUUCAACAGGUCAUGAGACAGUGUUGAGGUGAGGAUGUGGUGGUUAUAUUCAACAGGUCAUGAGACAGUGUUGAGGUGAGGAUGUGUUGGUUAUAUUCAACAGAAUGUACAGGUACAGUUCAUUGUUAUACUUUAUAUCCAGAAAUCUUGGAUUUGUCACCUCCUGUUCUGUUUCGUUACUUUUCAUUUAGGCUACAGUAUGAGGCAAGACUGUUCCUAGACCACUUGUUUUCUGAGAAGCUUGUUUUUUACCUGAUUGAGUUGGCGAUAGUGUAAUCUGAAAAUUACACACUGGUUAUGACUUUCUCUCUUCUAGAGUAGCUCUUGGCUGUGGUCUAAAUUGUUGGUUAAAUCCUGGUCGUCAUGUAUCUUCCUGAUCACUGUAUUAUUCAUCUGUCUGUGCUGUGUUUCAUCUUUGUGCCAAAGUGACCCAAUGUAAUGCCCAUGUAUGGAAGUGUUUUUUACCAAAACGAAACAUCACAAAACACAGGAUCUGGGCUCCGGGUGAAGUUUCCCCUAGGUACACGUCUAGGAUCAGCUUCCCCCAGGUACAGAUCUAGGAUCAGCUUCCCCUAGGUACACAUCUAGGAUCAAAUUCCCCCAGGUACAGAUCUAGGAUCAGUUUCCCCUAGGUACACAUCUAGGGUCAAUUUCCCCCAGGUACAGAUCUAAGAUCAACUUCCCCCAGGUACAGAUCUAAGAUCAGCUUCCCCUGGGUACAGAUCUAGGAUUAGUUUUCCUUAGGUACACAUCUAGGGUCAAUUUCCCCCAGGUACAGAUCUAAGAUCAGCUUCCCCCAGGUACAAAUCUAGGAUCAAUUUCCCCCAGGUACAGAUCUGGGAUCAAUUUCCCCCAGUUACAGAUCUAGGAUCAAUUUCCCCCAGGUACAGGUCUGGGAUCAAUUUCCCCCAGGUACAGAUCUAGGAUCAAUUUCCCCCAGGUACAGGUCUAGGAUCAGCUUCCCCGAGGGACAGAUCUAGGAUCUGCUUCCCCUAGGUACAGAUCUACGAUCCGCUUCCCACAGGUACAGAUCUAGGAUCCGCUUCCCACAGGUACAGAUCUAGGAUUAAUUUCUCCCAGGUACAGAUCUAGGAUCAAUUUCCCCCAGAUACAGAUCUAGGAUCAAUUUCCCCCAGUUACAGAUCUAGAAUAAAUUUCCCCAAGGUACAGAUCUAGGAUCAGUUUCUCCUUCCCCAAUGCAUACCCAUGAUGAGCGUCCAGGGGGGACUUCACUCCAGACCAAGGAGCUUCAGCUGUGUGUAGCCUUGGGGGGGAUCCCAAC